ensembl:lncRNA
GACACCGGUGCAAAAACCUGCACAUGUGCAGUACCGUUGUUCACCACUGGAGGGCGCCCUACAGAAAAUAUUUCCGAUUUCUUUCUCCCUUCUAUGCUAUUGUUUUACUAAGACUUCAGAAGCUCAGAGUUUUAACAUGGGGCGGGGGUGUGGAGUUCUGGUAGGCUGGUAGAGCACUGACUCCUUACUAUUCAGUCACGAACUCAAGAUUUUAAUUUUCCUUAGGUUGUCUUCUAAAUGUAGACUUUUUUUUCUUUUUUUUUUCGGAGCUGGGGACCAAACCCAGGGCCUUGCGCUUGCUAGGCAAGUGCUCUACCACUGAGCCAAAUCCCCAACCCCCUAAAUGUAGAUUUAAGGGUGCUUCUCAUUGGGCUAAAACAUCUCUGUACACUCUCUAUAUAUAUCUACCUCUCUGGAAAACGGGGAAAAAAUGUUCAUGGUUUUAACCCAAAGCUGUAGCUUUUGCUAUGACUCAAAGGUGUGAGUCUACUCUGGCUGUCUUACAGAGCCUGUUAGCUGAUUUUCCUACAAUGUGGAUUUUAGUACAGAUUACAAACAGCGGCUCAUUAUACAUUGGAUCUCAUUGGAUAGUCUCAUUAUACAUUGGAUCUCAUUGGAUAGGCUCGUUAUACAUUGGAUCUCAUUGGAUAGGCUCAUUAUACAUUGGAUCUGAUCUUUCAAAGGCAAACAAGGGCUAGCUAACUGUUACCAAAGAAAUAGAGAGCAGUCACUCCGGACCUCUCCAGACUCUAUGAGAGCCGUGAGCCCUGGAAUUCUCUGGAGGAGACGCCUUCCCUGCAGCCUCUCCUGCACUAGGAAGGAAGCUGACAAUAAAGUUUAUUUGAGCGUCGACGUGCCCCGACGUGGCCCCGCCUCCUCAGCAGUAGCGGUGAUUGGCGAGUUCUUACGGGCUGAGGGCGUUUCUAAGCCGCGAUUGGCUCCGUCUGCC